GUCCUGGCUGUAAACGAUGCUCACUAAGUAGGGGAGAACCUGAUUUCUUCCCUGCCGAACCUAACGGAUUAAGUGAGCCGCCUGGGGAGUACGGUCGCAAGGCUAAAACUCAAAGGAAUUGACGGGGGCUCGCACAAGCGGUGGAGCAUGUGGUUCAAUUCGAAGCAACGCGAAGAACCUUACCCGGGCUUGACAUGCACGUAGUAGGAACCUGAAAGGGGGACGACCCGUAGAAUCGGGAGCGUGCACAGGUGUUGCAUGGCUGUCGU
rnacentral:rRNA from 1 species